rnacentral:misc_RNA from 1 species
AUGGGAUGACAGCCAUUAUGCAAAACAAUGAGUUUUGAUCACUUGAAGAGCAGAUCUACAUCAUAAACAAAUAACUGACUACAGAACAACGAACCUCUUAGCAGUAGACUGCAAACACUAACACUAACUGCAGGCUACACAUCCAUGUGUUGAUCAGGUAUACAAAUUCAGAAUCAAAAUUUUCAUCAUGACUACAUGACUAAUAAAUGAAAUUCAAGUUAAAGCUCAAGAGAGUUCAAAAUGGAAUUAUUUGUUAUGACCAAUAUAUAAACAAAUAAUUCAGCCAAAUUUCAGUUUGUACAAAAAGCAAUCACCCAAAAUCAUGCAGUCAUGCUCCUCUGCCACUCUUGCAAUACAAUUAGAAUCAUUGAAAAAAUGGUUUUUAAUACUCAAGUCAAAGCAGUGUAUAUAUGGUUUUAGAAUGCACGUAUGGUUUUAGAAUGUAAAAAUCUAAGAAUAAAAAUUCCAACUCAAUCAAACAAUAUAUUAGAGAAAAAAGAAAGAGCAUGAUGCCUUUUUAUCUGAG